CUUAGGAGUCAUCUUUACCUCUUUAAAGAGAUGAAGACUAUCUAUUGCUUUCUUCUUAUCAAGUUAGGAUUAUGGUCUUUCGUUGUAGCCUAUAAACAGCUUCUGUGGGUCAAAGAAAAUUUGAGGGAGUCCUGGUCAAUGACAUUUAGGUGAAUGGAUUUGAGCGAUUGGUUAUCGUAUAGAGCAACGGGAGAUGAUACUCGAAGUCUACGCACAACAGUCUGCAAAUGGACUUAUUUGGGCCAUGCGCAUAUGCAACAGAUCAAUGAGACAGUUUCCCGUGACAUGGAAGCUCUUGGAUGGGAUGAUGACUUUUGGGAGGAAAUUGGUUUAGGUGAUCUUGUGGAUAGCCAUCAUUCCAAGGUAGGAUGCAGUGUAGCUUUUCCCGGUCAUGCUUUGGGCUGUGGUCUGACACCUAAUGCCUCAAAGGCAAGAAAACUUACGAAAAGUUCACUUGAUUACAGUGAUUGCUUGAGCCUAUAAUUGAUAUAAAAUAUCCAGUUCAGAUGGAGAUAGCAGCACAUACUCCAUCUUUCUAGCAAAUUAUCCUAACUGAUGUACAUUACAAGUCCAGUUGGACCAAGAGACAUGCUCGCUAGUGUCUUAUUUUAUCCUUUUUGCUAAGAAACAUUUUUCUGUUACCAAGAACUGGGUUUACUAGCUGGGACACCAGUUGGUAGAUGCAAUGUUAUCAAAUAGCGGAUAUGGCGGCGCCAUGGCGCUAUGACAUGGCGUUCAGUGGUGGAAACGCCAUAGUACCAUGUCGAUGUCAUAGCACCUCCAUAUCCAACAUUUGACAACAUUGCAUGUGUACUGUAUUUAGGAAUGGGGCAUUAUGCAAGAAACAUGGAGGCGAACCGUCAUAAGCCGCCAUACGAGAUUGAUAACAUUGGGUAGAUGCUCAUGCUGGUGGUGUGGGGGUCAUGGAAAGUGUGCCUCCAGAAAUAACAGAACAUGAACCAGCAGAAGAUGGGGAGGAGGAAAUAUGUCAUCGCAUGGUGUUAGUAUGGCUAUAUCUAAGGCCAAGUUAUUCAGUACAGAUUUAUUUGUUAACAAUAUUGCUUUCAGUGACACUGACAACUUCCACUGUGCCACUGGUGAUUAAUGGGCCGUAGAAUGAAACUGGAUAUAAAUUAUGUGUCUUCUAUUCAGUUCACCUCCUUAACACCCAGAUAAUAAAAUGAAUACCUAGCCACACGUGCUACUUUAGCAACUGGAUUUUUCUUAGAGUCUGGAAUUGCCAGAGGAGUUACCUUAUUGGAUUAAUAUUCUCCUCUAUGGUACCUAUAACCUUCUAGUUUACAUCUAGGCAUUACUGCGAAUGUCUUGUGGCUGGAAAUACAGAGUCCUCAUGCCAACUUGUACAUGGAUAUUUAUUAGUAUUAUGCACGAGGAACUUGUGAACUGCAUGUUUUAUGACUUUAUUUUGAUUUAUCAUAUUCUAAUACUUUUUAAUAAGAUAAGUGAGUCUGUUAUGAAUCUUCGUGCAUGUCCAAACAUUGAGUCUGCUUCCUGUCUGUUUGAGAACAUCUCAGUAGCUGCUUGGACAGUUUGAGUUCCAUGUGGAGAGUAUGCCUUCAGGCUUUCCAGUAAGUUAGGACGUGGCAAGAUGGAGACUCUUCUAGUUUUGUAGUCUAAAAGUAGCGUCCCUGCUUCUGCAAUGAUGGAAUACCUUAGCCUUUGAAUAUUUCAUAAUGGAAAAGUUAUACUAUCAUAUCUACAGAGGGCAUGUUUUAUAUUGGUUUUUUUUUCUCUGAUGCAAGGAGGGACAUUUCUUUUCACUUUCACGAUUUGAGUAUUGGCUUGCGGAAGGAGGCCAGAGCGCUAGUGGGGCAUUAUUUGAGCACAUCUUGGACGGCCAUCCUGCAUAUCAAGGCCUGGCUAACAGAGCAGCUAUGCCCUUGUUAAAUUGUGUUUCUAGAUAUAUAGUCACAUCUAUGUUGUUCUUUACCUAAUCUAUACCACAAUUUUUUUCUUUAUAAGGUGUUUCAGUGUACGAGCUUCUGAAUGAGAUACUGGAAAAAAUGGUAAUGAAUGAAAUACUGGAAUCAAUGAAGCAAGAAAUGAGUUCUCCAUUUCUUGCUGCGUUGACAAAAGACAUUCAUGUGCUUCCUGAUUUCCAUGGAAACAGAUCUCCUAUUGCAGACCCAUUAUCCAAAGGGGUGAUAUUUGGCCUUACUAUUAUUGAUACAAGUGAGAGACAGCUGGCUCUUUUAUACCUUGCCACAAUACAAGGUGUAGCUUACGGGACACGACAUAUAGUAGAACAUUGCAAUGAGAAGGGGCACAAGGUAAGGAAAUUGGUGCAGUGUGCUUUAAUUACCUUCGCCAUAUCACAUUUAGAGCUGAUUAUCAACUGCUGUCGAAAGCAGACAAAACGGUAUCAAGUCAUUUCUUACACUUUAGUAGGCUUGUAAAAUGUGUAUAGAUUCAAGAGCAUGCAGAUAUCACAGGUUCUAUUCUCUCUAUCUCUCUCUCAUGGAUACAUAUAUGACUAUUUGACAUCUCUGAUCUCUCUAUCAUUUCAUCUGUCAACCUAAUUAGUCUCAUUAGUCAUUCGUAGUCUAUUAUGUUCAACAGGUUAUCCCAUAACUCUUCCUCGGGAAAACGAAGCUGUGCUGCUAUUCUUGGUGAUGUUGCUUCGAAGAUGUAUUCCACUGUUAGAGAGGCCAUGCAAGCACUAAAUGCACCUGGCCGGGUGGUGUAUUCCUCUCACGACCCGAAAGUAAGGAAGUAUCACGACACUAAGUGUCGUAUCUUCCGUGAUCUUUACCAGCAGCAACUAUCCCAGCGUGCAAUGAUAAAAGAAGCUCUUUCAGAUGUCUAGACUUUGGAAUAGAGAUUGAGAAGUUGAAGAUACAAUAAUAAGUUUAGUAAGUAUUUUACUUGAAUACAAUUUGUUUACACGAAUUAUACAUUGAAUUUGUAUGGGAAUAUUACAGCCCACAGCCUGUGGAAGUUUACAGGUAUAUAUGUUGAACGCAAUAAAUAGACAACAUAGUUGCUACAUAUUUAUCUUAAA